CGGACGGGUGAGUAAUGUCUGGGAAACUGCCCGAUGGAGGGGGAUAACUACUGGAAACGGUAGCUAAUACCGCAUAACGUCGCAAGACCAAAGAGGGGGACCUUCGGGCCUCUUGCCAUCGGAUGUGCCCAGAUGGGAUUAGCUAGUAAGUGGGGUAACGGCUCACCUAGGCGACGAUCCCUAGCUGGUCUGAGAGGAUGACCAGCCACACUGGAACUGAGACACGGUCCAG
rnacentral:rRNA from 1 species